rnacentral:lncRNA from 1 species
UUUCCUUCUGUUAGCUUUGAUUGCUCUUAAUAUGAUAUCCAAAGAGAACCAAAACUUUUUGGGUGAAGACAGUUUUAUACCUUACUCCCUUUGUAGCUUGCAACUUCAUAGAUGCUCAGAAGACUAAAGAAAGCACCGCCCAACUGCCCCAGGAGUUGGUGGCACAUGCCUUUAAUCCCAGCACUCGGGAGACUGAGGCAGGUGGAUCUCUGUACGUUCGAGACCAGCCUGGUCUACAGAGCAAGUUCCAGGACAGCCUCCAAAUAAUACAGAGAAACCCUGUCUUGAAAAACCAAAAAGAAAGAAAGAAAGAAAGAAAGAAAGCAAGAAAGAAAGAAAGAAAGAAAGAAAGAAAGAAAGAAAGAAGGGAAGAAAGAAAGAAACCUGUAUUUUUUCACCAUUGUUUUUCACUAUUAGCUCAGUAGUCACUUUCCAGUUUCUUUGAAUACUUUGGUAUCAUUUCUCAUUACAGAUCCAAUGCUGAAUCCAUGGAUUCCACAGGAAUUAGAGAUGCAAAACAGUUUUUAAAAUGACAUCUGUAUUAAACAUGUAAAGACGUUCCUCAGCAUUGACUCCCAAAAAGCAGCUAUUUAGGGAAUAUUUGCAUUGCAUUCUGUAUUAUUAGUGAUUUAGAAAUAUUGUGCAUAUGUUUUUCUCAAAAUAUUAUGUUAUUUUACAUAGAGGCUUGAGGCUUUCCAAUUUUAGCUUGUGUAGGGAACCCAAAGAAUUAUCCCCCAAGGAUACUAAAGGGUGAUUGUGCUACACUUUGUAUCCUGAAGAAAUACAAUAAGAUAUCUGUGAUUUCGAGACCAGCCUGGUCUACAAGAGCUAGUUCCAGGACAGGCUCCAAAGCCACAGAGAAACCCUGUCUUGGAAAAUCAGAAAAAAAAAGAACUACGAUAAAAUAAUUAUGUCUUUUCUAUCAUAGCUAUGAAAUAAUAUAAAUAUAAGCAGUGUGAGUGGUAUUUAUUUCUAAAGAUGAUGAAAUAGCUCUUUUGGAAUAAUAAAUUCUGUGACAUCAUGAAUGGACUUACUAUUUUUGGUGAGAAAUUUUCCUUAACAAAU